rnacentral:tRNA from 2 species
GCGGAUAUGGUGGAAUUGGCAGACACGCCAGAUUUAGGUUCUGGUGCCGUAAGGCAUACAGGUUCAAGUCCUGCUAUCCGCACCA